CUUGUGGAUGAUGAGAACGAGAGUCA
rnacentral:sRNA from 1 species